UAGAUGUGUAUGAUGAAAACAUAGUUCAGCUGAUAUCUGUGAAGAACAAUCUUUCGCUCCUAUCUGAUGCAUCUC